AUGGGUGCAGAGGGGGAAGAACAAUACAGUGAGCAUUUUCGGAGGCUCCGCAGGCUGUGCGAGGUGGUCUGUUCUCCGGGUAGAGCUGAAGAUCGACGGCGCGUUACUCUGAGCGGAGAUACGAAGCGAGUAUUAGCUUCAGCAGGUUGCGGACAGUUGUUGGUGUUGCGGACAGGGAGUUUGUUGGGAGAAGCGGGGAUGAUGGAUGGUGGCAGUGAGAAGUGGCUAGCGGAAACAGGGUUGAGAGGUUGA